GAUGAACGCUGGCGGCGUGCCUAAUACAUGCAAGUCGAGCGAACAGACGAGGAGCUUGCUCCUCUUACGUUAGCGGCGGACGGGGGAGUAACACGUGGAUAACCUACCUAUAAGACUGGGAUAACUUCGGGAAACCGGAGCUAAUACCGGAUAAUAUAUUGAACCGCAUGGUUCAAUAGUGAAAGGCGGUUUUGCUGUCACUUAUAGAUGGAUCCGAGCCGCAUUAGCUAGUUGGUGAGGUAACGGCUUACCAAGGCGACGAUGCGUAGCCGACCUGGGAGGGUGAUCGGCCACACUGGAACUGAGACACGGUCCAGACUCCGACGGGAGGCAGAAGUAGGGAAGCUUACGCAAUGGGCGAAAGCCUGACGGAGAAACGCCGCGUGAGUGAUGAAGGUCUUCGGAUCGUAAAACUCUGUUCUUAGGGAAGAACAAAUGUGUAAGUAACUAUGCACGUCUUGACGGUACCUAAACAGAAAGCCACGGCUAACUACGUG
rnacentral:rRNA from 1 species